GGGUUGUGAGGUUAAGCGACUAAGCGUACACGGUGGAUGCCCUGGCAGUCAGAGGCGAUGAAGGACGUGCUAAUCUGCGAAAAGCGUCGGUAAGGUGAUAUGAACCGUUAUAGCCGGCGAUGUCCGAAUGGGGAAACCCAGUGUGAUUCGUCACACUAUCGUUAACUGAAUACAUAGGUUAACGAGGCGAACCGGGGGAACUGAAACAUCUAAGUACCCCGAGGAAAAGAAAUCAACCGAGAUUCCCCCAGUAGCGGCGAGCGAACGGGGAGCAGCCCAGAGUCUGAAUCAGCUUGUGUGUUAGUGGAACGGUCUGGAAAGUCCGACGGUACAGGGUGAUAGUCCCGUACACCAAAAUGCACAGGCUGUGAACUCGAAGAGUAGGGCGGGACACGUGGUAUCCUGUCUGAAUAUGGGGGGACCAUCCUCCAAGGCUAAAUACUCCUGACUGACCGAUAGUGAACCAGUACCGUGAGGGAAAGGCGAAAAGAACCCCGGCGAGGGGAGUGAAAAAGAACCUGAAACCGUGUACGUACAAGCAGUGGGAGCACCUUCGGGUGUGACUGCGUACCUUUUGUAUAAUGGGUCAGCGACUUAUAUUCUGUAGCAAGGUUAACCGUAUAGGGGAGCCGCAGGGAAACCGAGUCUUAACUGGGCGUUAAGUUGCAGGGUAUAGACCCGAAACCCGGUGAUCUAGCCAUGGGCAGGUUGAAGGUUGGGUAACACUAACUGGAGGACCGAACCGACUAAUGUUGAAAAAUUAGCGGAUGACUUGUGGCUGGGGGUGAAAGGCCAAUCAAACCGGGAGAUAGCUGGUUCUCCCCGAAAGCUAUUUAGGUAGCGCCUCGUGAAUUCAUCUUCGGGGGUAGAGCACUGUUUCGGCUAGGGGGUCAUCCCGACUUACCAACCCGAUGCAAACUACGAAUACCGAAGAAUGUUAUCACGGGAGACACACGGCGGGUGCUAACGUCCGUCGUGAAGAGGGAAACAACCCAGACCGCCAGCUAAGGUCCCAAAGUCAUGGUUAAGUGGGAAACGAUGUGGGAAGGCACAGACAGCCAGGAUGUUGGCUUAGAAGCAGCCAUCAUUUAAAGAAAGCGUAAUAGCUCACUGGUCGAGUCGGCCUGCGCGGAAGAUGUAACGGGGCUAAACCAUGCACCGAAGCUGCGGCAGCGACACUAUGUGUUGUUGGGUAGGGGAGCGUUCUGUAAGCCUGCGAAGGUGACCUGUGAGGGUUGCUGGAGGUAUCAGAAGUGCGAAUGCUGACAUAAGUAACGAUAAAGCGGGUGAAAAGCCCGCUCGCCGGAAGACCAAGGGUUCCUGUCCAACGUUAAUCGGGGCAGGGUGAGUCGACCCCUAAGGCGAGGCCGAAAGGCGUAGUCGAUGGGAAACAGGUUAAUAUUCCUGUACUUGGUGUUACUGCGAAGGGGGGACGGAGAAGGCUAUGUUAGCCGGGCGACGGUUGUCCCGGUUUAAGCAUGUAGGCUGGUUAUCCAGGCAAAUCCGGAUAAUCAAGGCUGAGGUGUGAUGACGAGGCACUACGGUGCUGAAGUAACAAAUGCCCUGCUUCCAGGAAAAGCCUCUAAGCAUCAGGUAACAUUAAAUCGUACCCCAAACCGACACAGGUGGUCAGGUAGAGAAUACCAAGGCGCUUGAGAGAACUCGGGUGAAGGAACUAGGCAAAAUGGUGCCGUAACUUCGGGAGAAGGCACGCUGGUGUGUAGGUGAAGUCCCUGCGGAUGGAGCUGAGACCAGUCGAAGAUACCAGCUGGCUGCAACUGUUUAUUAAAAACACAGCACUGUGCAAACACGAAAGUGGACGUAUACGGUGUGACGCCUGCCCGGUGCCGGAAGGUUAAUUGAUGGGGUUAUCCGUAAGGAGAAGCUCUUGAUCGAAGCCCCGGUAAACGGCGGCCGUAACUAUAACGGUCCUAAGGUAGCGAAAUUCCUUGUCGGGUAAGUUCCGACCUGCACGAAUGGCGUAAUGAUGGCCAGGCUGUCUCCACCCGAGACUCAGUGAAAUUGAACUCGCUGUGAAGAUGCAGUGUACCCGCGGCAAGACGGAAAGACCCCGUGAACCUUUACUAUAGCUUGACACUGAACAUUGAGCCUUGAUGUGUAGGAUAGGUGGGAGGCUUUGAAGCGUGGACGCCAGUCUGCGUGGAGCCAACCUUGAAAUACCACCCUUUAAUGUUUGAUGUUCUAACGUUGGCCCCUUACCGGGGUUGCGGACAGUGUCUGGUGGGUAGUUUGACUGGGGCGGUCUCCUCCCAAAGCGUAACGGAGGAGCACGAAGGUUAGCUAAUCCUGGUCGGACAUCAGGAGGUUAGUGCAAUGGCAUAAGCUAGCUUGACUGCGAGCGUGACGGCGCGAGCAGGUGCGAAAGCAGGUCAUAGUGAUCCGGUGGUUCUGAAUGGAAGGGCCAUCGCUCAACGGAUAAAAGGUACUCCGGGGAUAACAGGCUGAUACCGCCCAAGAGUUCAUAUCGACGGCGGUGUUUGGCACCUCGAUGUCGGCUCAUCACAUCCUGGGGCUGAAGUAGGUCCCAAGGGUAUGGCUGUUCGCCAUUUAAAGUGGUACGCGAGCUGGGUUUAGAACGUCGUGAGACAGUUCGGUCCCUAUCUGCCGUGGGCGCUGGAGAAUUGAGGGGGGCUGCUCCUAGUACGAGAGGACCGGAGUGGACGCAUCACUGGUGUUCGGGUUGUCAUGCCAAUGGCACUGCCCGGUAGCUAAAUGCGGAAGAGAUAAGUGCUGAAAGCAUCUAAGCACGAAACUUGCCCCGAGAUGAGUUCUCCCUGAGACUUUAAGUCUCCUGAAGGAACGUUGAAGACGACGACGUUGAUAGGCCGGGUGUGUAAGCGCAGCGAUGCGUUGAGCUAACCGGUACUAAUGAACCGUGAGGCUUAACCUUACAACGCCGAAG
rnacentral:rRNA from 1 species